rnacentral:rRNA from 1 species
GGACAAUGGGCGCAAGCCUGAUCCAGCCAUGCCGCGUGAGUGAUGAAGGCCCUAGGGUUGUAAAGCUCUUUUACCCGGGAAGAUAAUGACGGUACCGGGAGAAUAAGCCCCGGCUAACUUCGUGCCAGCAGCCGCGGUAAUACGAAGGGGGCUAGCGUUGUUCGGAAUCACUGGGCGUAAAGCGCACGUAGGCGGAUCUUUAAGUCAGGGGUGAAAUCCCGGGGCUCAACCUCGGAACUGCCUUUGAUACUGGAGAUCUUGAGUCCGGGAGAGGUGAGUGGAACUGCNAGUGUAGAGGUGAANUUCGUAGAUAUUCGCAAGAACACCAGUGGCGAAGGCGGCUCACUGGCCCGGUACUGACGCUGANGUGCGAAAGCGUGGGGANCAAACAGGAUUANAUACCCUGGUAGUCCNCCCCGUAAACGAUGGAUGCUACCNNUUAGNCAGCUUGCUGCUU